AAAUUGAAGAGUUUGAUCAUGGCUCAGAUUGAACGCUGGCGGCAGGCCUAACACAUGCAAGUCGAGCGGUAGCACAGAGAGCUUGCUCUCGGGUGACGAGCGGCGGACGGGUGAGUAAUGUCUGGGAAACUGCCUGAUGGAGGGGGAUAACUACUGGAAACGGUAGCUAAUACCGCAUAACGUCGCAAGACCAAAGUGGGGACCUUCGGGCCUCAUGCCAUCAGAUGUGCCCAGAUGGGAUUAGCUAGUAGGUGGGGUAACGGCUCACCUAGGCGACGAUCCCUAGCUGGUCUGAGAGGAUGACCAGCCACACUGGAACUGAGACACGGUCCAGACUCCUACGGGAGGCAGCAGUGGGGAAUAUUGCACAAUGGGCGCAAGCCUGAUGCAGCCAUGCCGCGUGUGUGAAGAAGGCCUUCGGGUUGUAAAGCACUUUCAGCGGGGAGGAAGGCGAUAAGGUUAAUAACCUUGUCGAUUGACGUUACCCGCAGAAGAAGCACCGGCUAACUCCGUGCCAGCAGCCGCGGUAAUACGGAGGGUGCAAGCGUUAAUCGGAAUUACUGGGCGUAAAGCGCACGCAGGCGGUCUGUCAAGUCGGAUGUGAAAUCCCCGGGCUCAACCUGGGAACUGCAUUCGAAACUGGCAGGCUAGAGUCUUGUAGAGGGGGGUAGAAUUCCGGUGUAGCGGUGAAAUGCGUAGAGAUCUGGAGGAAUACCGGUGGCGAAGGCGGCCCCUGGACAAAGACUGACGCUCAGGUGCGAAAGCGUGGGGAGCAAACAGGAUUAGAUACCCUGGUAGUCCACGCCGUAAACGAUGUCGAUUUGGAGGUUGUGCCCUUGAGGCGUGGCUUCCGGAGCUAACGCGUUAAAUCGACCGCCUGGGGAGUACGGCCGCAAGGUUAAAACUCAAAUGAAUUGACGGGGGCCCGCACAAGCGGUGGAGCAUGUGGUUUAAUUCGAUGCAACGCGAAGAACCUUACCUGGUCUUGACAUCCACAGAACUUUCCAGAGAUGGAUUGGUGCCUUCGGGAACUGUGAGACAGGUGCUGCAUGGCUGUCGUCAGCUCGUGUUGUGAAAUGUUGGGUUAAGUCCCGCAACGAGCGCAACCCUUAUCCUUUGUUGCCAGCGGUUAGGCCGGGAACUCAAAGGAGACUGCCAGUGAUAAACUGGAGGAAGGUGGGGAUGACGUCAAGUCAUCAUGGCCCUUACGACCAGGGCUACACACGUGCUACAAUGGCAUAUACAAAGAGAAGCGACCUCGCGAGAGCAAGCGGACCUCAUAAAGUAUGUCGUAGUCCGGAUUGGAGUCUGCAACUCGACUCCAUGAAGUCGGAAUCGCUAGUAAUCGUAGAUCAGAAUGCUACGGUGAAUACGUUCCCGGGCCUUGUACACACCGCCCGUCACACCAUGGGAGUGGGUUGCAAAAGAAGUAGGUAGCUUAACCUUCGGGAGGGCGCUUACCACUUUGUGAUUCAUGACUGGGGUGAAGUCGUAACAAGGUAACCGUAGGGGAACCUGCGGUUGGAUCACCUCCUUACCUUAAAGAA
rnacentral:rRNA from 1 species